rnacentral:rRNA from 1 species
GGACCCGCACAAGUAGUGGAGCAUGUGGUUUAAUUCGAAGAUACGCGCAGAACCUUACCAACACUUGACAUGUUCGUCGCGACUUUAAGAGAUUAAAGUUUUCGGUUCGGCCGGACGAAACACAGGUGCUGCAUGGCUGUCGUCAGCUCGUGUCGUGAGAUGUUGGGUUAAGUCCCGCAACGAGCGCAACCCUCACUUUUAGUUGCCAUCAUUAAGUUGGGCACUCUGAAAGAACUGCCAGUGAUAAGCUGGAGGAAGGUGGGGAUGACGUCAAGUCCUCAUGGCCCUUACGUGUUGGGCUACACACGUGCUACAAUGGUAUCUACAACAGGAAGCAAAACAGCGAUGUUAAAGCAAAUCCCGAAAAGAUGCCUCAGUUCGGAUUGCACUCUGCAACUCGAGUGCAUG